rnacentral:rRNA from 1 species
UCAGUCGACUCCUACGGGAGGCAGCAGUGGGGAAUCUUGCACAAUGGGCGAAAGCCUGAUGCAGCGACGCCGCGUGGGGGAUGAAGGCCUUAGGGGUCGUAAACCCCUUUCAGUAGGGACGAAAAUGACGGUACCUACAGAAGAAGCUCCGGCCAACUACGUGCCAGCAGCCGCGGUAAGACGUAUGGGGCGAGCGUUGUCCGGAUUUAUUGGGCGUAAAGGGCUCGUAGGCGGUUACGUAAGUCGGAUGUGAAAACUCGAGGCUCAACUUCCAGACGCCAUCCGAUACUGCGUUGACUUGAGUCCGGUAGAGGAGUGUGGAAUUCCUAGUGUAGCGGUGAAAUGCGCAGAUAUUAGGAGGAACACCUAUUGCGAAGGCAGCACUCUGGGCCGGUACUGACGCUGAGGAGCGAAAGCAUGGGUAGCAAACAGGAUUAGAUACCCUGGUAG